rnacentral:misc_RNA from 1 species
GAAAUGCGAUACGUAAUGUGAAUUGCAGAAUUCAGUGAAUCAUCGAAUCUUUGAACGCACAUUGCGCCCGCCAGUAUUCUGGCGGGCAUGCCUGUUCGAGCGUCAUUACAACCCUCAGGCCCCCGGGCCUGGCGUUGGGGAUCGGCGGAAGCCCCCUGCGGGCACAACGCCGUCCCCCAAAUACAGUGGCGGUCCCGCCGCAGCUUCCAUUGCGUAGUAGCUAACACCUCGCAACUGGAGAGCGGCGCGGCCACGCCGUAAAACACCCAACUUCUGAAUGUUGACCUCGAAUCAGGUAGGAAUACCCGCUGAACUUAAGC